UUUUUUUUGACAAUAUAAAUAUUUUAUGUGUGGUGAGGAAUUUCUUUUCUUAAAAUAUAUGAACUAUUAAUAAAAAUUCUACCAAUUAACUUUUAUUCGUAGGAGAAAUAUAACAAUAUUUUUUUUAACAAUAUAAAUAAAUUACGUACGGUAGGAAAUUUCUUUUCUUAAAAUAUAUAAAUUAUUAAUGAAAAUUUUACUAACUUUCGUUCGUAUGAGAAAUGUAAUAUUUAUAUAUAAUAAAAAUAUAUUAUUAUAUUAAUAAUAUUAUAUUUUAUUAGUAGUGUUCAUGUCGUGUUCGUGUCCUAAUUUUUUAAAGUUGUCGAGUCAUGCCGUGCCCCGUGCCCUGUGU
rnacentral:lncRNA from 1 species